rnacentral:rRNA from 1 species
GAUGAACGCUGGCGGCGUGCCUAAUACAUGCAAGUCGAGCGAACGGACGAGAAGCUUGCUUCUCUGAUGUUAGCGGCUGACGUGUGAGUAACACGUGGAUAACCUACCUAUAAGACUGGGAUAACUUCGGGAAACCGGAGCUACUACCGGAUAAUAUUUUGAACCGCAUGGUUCAAAAGUGAAAGACGGUCUUUCUGUCUCUUAUAGAUGGAUCCGCGCUGCAUUAGCUAGUUGGUAAGGUAACGGCUUACCAAGGCAACGAUGCAUAGCCGACCUGAGAGGGUGAUAGGCCACACUGGAACUGAGACACGGUCCAGACUACUACGGGAGGCAGCAGAAGGGAAUAUUCCGCAAUGGGAGAAAGCCUGACGGAGCAAAGCCGCGUGAGUGAUGAAGGUCUUCGGAUCGUAAAAAUCUGUUAUUAGGGAAGAAAAUAUGUGUAAGUAACUGUGCACAUAGUGACGGUACCUAAUCAGAAAGCCACGGCUAACUACGUG